rnacentral:tRNA from 85 species
GCACCCGUAGCUCAGCUGGAUAGAGCGCUGCCCUCCGAAGGCAGAGGCCACUGGUUCGAAUCCAGUCGGGUGCACCA